GAAUGAACGACUUGAAGUGUUUAGUGAGCACAUGCAUUUACCCCUGCUCACCCCUUCUCCUUCUGGUGACCUCUGAACUCCCAAGACACCCCACAUGUCCCUGAUGAAGAACUGAGCUACACGAAGUCUGUGACCCGGGCUACCUGAGACGAUUUACAACACACGUGGUUUAGGGAUUGUGAUUUUACGAGAAUGCAGAACCAGCUGUAGGAGCCAACGAUCCAGUGGUAUGAUCAGCAUGGUGAGAGUGUCCCUACGUGAGGGAGACUCUUUCUGUCUGUCACUCA
ensembl:lncRNA